UGACCUCGGGUUGUACGGGAUUACCCGGUGGAUUUAAGCAUAUUAAUAAGC
rnacentral:rRNA from 1 species